CAGCAGCCGCGGGAAUACGAAGGGGGCUAGCGUUGUUCGGAUUUACUGGGCGUAAAGCGCACGUAGGCGGAUCGAUCAGUCAGGGGUGAAAUCCCAGAGCUCAACUCUGGAACUGCCUUUGAUACUGUCGAUCUGGAGUAUGGAAGAGGUGAGUGGAAUUCCGAGUGUAGAGGUGAAAUUCGUAGAUAUUCGGAGGAACACCAGUGGCGAAGGCGGCUCACUGGUCCAUUACUGACGCUGAGGUGCGAAAGCGUGGGGAGCAAACAGGAUUAGAUACCCCUGUAGUCCCUGUCUCUUAUAC
rnacentral:rRNA from 1 species